rnacentral:rRNA from 1 species
UACGAAGGGGGCAAGCGUUGUUCGGAAUCACUGGGCUUAAAGGGCGCGUAGGCGGGUGCUCAAGUCCGGGGUGAAAUCCUCCAGCUCAACUGGAGAACUGCCUCGGAUACUGGGUGUCUCGAGUGUGGUAGGGGUAUGCGGAACUAUCGGUGGAGCGGUGAAAUGCGUUGAUAUCGAUAGGAACUCCGGUGGCGAAGGCGGCAUACUGGACCACUACUGACGCUGAUGCGCGAAAGCCAGGGGAGCAAACGGG